CAAAUCAGCAUGAUGCCAGUUAAAUAUCACUAUCCCCAUGUUAAAGAUAAGCAAGCCGAAUCUCAGGUUAAGAAAACUUAUCAGAAGUAAACAGCUAGCAGGUGGUUGGAAGCUGAGAUGAAUUCAGUCAUGCUCGAUGCCAAAGUUCAAGCAUGAGGACACUGCGGAGUUAUAGAAAAUUCUAGAAACAAUGGUGUUAUUCUUCAGUAGACAUUUGUAAGUAUCAUUUCUGUCAAGGAAUUACUAGCUUUCUGUUUAAUAUUCCAGGAUCUGAACACCUACUACUUCUCAAGAUAGCACAAUUUACUGUGGGACACAAGGGCAUAUUUUAAAAUUCUUAUUUCAAUCUGUGUGUGUGUGCACUCAUACAUUAGGAGUCCAGAUAACUGUUCUGUGAAAAUGCUUCAAAGGGACUUUGAGGAGAUCCCUGUUUAAGAAUUUCCUUAUACCAGCAGGUUGGCAAACUAUGGCCAGCGGCCAGCUGCCAAAUCUGGGCAUUUUUUUCUCUCUUUUCUCUCAUUUUGAAUCUGUUUUUGUAAAUAAAGAUCUCCUGGCAUACAGCCAUGCCUACUUAUUUAUGUAUUAUCUAUGGUUUCUUUCUAGCUCCAAUGGUCAGAGUGGAGCAGCCCUGACAGACACUGUCUGGCCCACAAAACCAAAAAUACCUACUCUCUGGACCUCUGCAGCACAAAUUUGCUGCCCUGUGCUGUAAAACAUGGGUUAGAGAUAAACUAGAGAUUGUGUCAAAAAAAAUGUGUAUUUGAGAUUUGGAGGUCCCACUAAAGCCUAUGACAAAUGGCCAGAAGGAGAUCUCUCCACGCAUGUGAAAUAUCACAAGAUGUUCAAGACAAGAAAGAAAAAUGGCUCAAGUAGUGGACAGAAAGGUGUCAGAGACGCGACAAGCAGAGAGGACAGAGAUAGGAUGGGGCAGGGGCUCAGGACCUAUGACCCUGCACCCAGCAAGAUUCAGAAGAUGUUCAGACUCUAUUCUGUCUAUUGAAAGAGUGGAGGUUUAAAAGAAGGACGUGCUAUGGACACCUCCAUGACUGAAAGGAUCACACCAGCUGCCAUAGGACAGCACAUCAGGGAGGAGCAGGAGAGGACACGAGAUGCCCUGUGGACACUUCUCAGUUACUGAGUUGAAGAGCAGUGGUGAUUGGACUAGGCUAUCCUACACUGUAUGACUUGCAAAGAGGUUUAACUGGAACUGAUGGAAGAAAUGGAGAAACAUGAGCUUCUGCCAGCAAGGAAAAUCCUCACAGAAGAGGAUGGAAUUGAGAAGGGCCUCAACGGAUGGCUGGAAUACGGACAGCCAAGAAAAUCAGAUGGCUUCUCGCUCUCUUACUACACUCCAUUUGGGGAAGUGGUCUGAAAGGAAAAUAGCAAGCAGCCAAUAAUUCCAUAUAAAAACUCUUGAAUUGACACUUUUUUCUUGGCAAAAGAGCCAACAUUUUAUCAAAGUUGCACUUACAUAUAUUCAACAUUCUUUCUCCAGCCCAUUGAAUUUUGCUCUAGGUGGGUGCCAUUUUGAAUGUUUCCUAUUAAUCUGUUUCCAAUAAUAAUCACAAGUGGAAUAUUUAUCUGACAGCAUUUAGAGUUCUUCUGGUUGAUUAAUAUUUGCUCUUUUUACUUAAAACCUAAUAUUAAGAAGUGCUAGCUUGAAACUUUUGAGUAUUUUUAUUCUAAAGCUUGUAGUCUUCAUCCUGUGGACCACUGGUGUUGGCAUGUGAGGGAUCUGAAUGCACAGAGACAUACAUGCUGGGAGCAGAGAUGUUUUACUGAUUAAAAUCAAAAUACUAGUCUCUAUAUCAACUCAACCCCAAUAAAUUAUGACAGUAAGUGCUAUAGCUGAUCCUUGUGACCAAAGCGAAUGCAGAGCCAUCAGUGACUCUAAUUUUAAUGCUUUCUGUUUUUCUCCUUUGUCUAGGGUAAACAACACCACCUUUAGUGAGCAGAUCACAUAUUUUAAAUGAGUUGCCAAGUAGGAUGCAUUAAUGUCUUAUGGGAAGGAAAUGUAGUCUGUGAUGUCAUAUGGGUCCCAUGAGUGAUGUAUUUCAAAGUGGCUGAGAGAUCUCUUAUGGGACACUCUAUUAAUGUUUCAUAUUAACAAAAUUUGGGAAAAGCUUGAUAUCCGCCACAGAGAACUCAAAGGGUACCCCAUGCAGAAGGGAGAGGAAUUGAAAAGUAGGGACAGGGGAUGAGGCUGGCUUAUGGAUGCGAUGACUUGGCUUGGCUCUCGGGGUCUCGGUUGGACAUGCUCCCUGAUUUGGAAUGGGUGGAGGCAGAUCCGAACCCCACUUGGCAUCCAUGGUGAGAAAGGAAAAGAAGGUUGAGGAAGGCCACGUGGGAAGGUGCUCAUUCCAUGUGAGAACAUGGUAACUGGAAACAGCUUUCGUCCUGGCCAGAGGAUGCACCAAAAGACAUUGGGCAAAUGUCAUAAUUAUGGCCAGGAAACAUCUGGCUGGGUCAGGAAACGGAUGGGAUUUGGACAUA
rnacentral:lncRNA from 1 species